rnacentral:rRNA from 1 species
CCUACGGGAGGCAGCAGUGGGGAAUAUUGCACAAUGGGGGAAACCCUGAUGCAGCGACGCCGCGUGAGUGAAGAAGUAAUUCGUUAUGUAAAGCUCUAUCAGCAGGGAAGAAAAUGACGGUACCUGAGUAAGAAGCCCCGGCUAACUACGUGCCAGCAGCCGCGGUAAUACGUAGGGGGCAAGCGUUAUCCGGAUUUACUGGGUGUAAAGGGAGCGUAGACGGCAGUGCAAGUCUGGAGUGAAAGGGGGGGGCUCAACCCCCGGACUGCUCUGGAGACUGUACGGCUGGAGUGCAGGAGAGGUAAGUGGAAUUCCUAGUGUAGCGGUGAAAUGCGUAGAGAUUAGGAGGAACACCAGUGGCGAAGGCGGCUUACUGGACUGUAACUGACGUUGAGGCUCGAAAGCGUGGGGAGCAAACAGGAUUAGAUACCCCUGUAGUC